GCCGCUAUAGCUCAGUGGCUAGAGCGUUGGUCUCGUAAACCAAAGGUCGCAAGUUCGAAUCUUGUUGGCAGUG
rnacentral:tRNA from 1 species